rnacentral:lncRNA from 1 species
AUAGAUUCAUUUUCAUCCAUCACUCACACAUUCAGAUUCACCACAAGAGAGAAGGGAGCUAGUUGCAAAGGAGGGAGACCUUGGAGCCGUCCUGGACCUUGUUGCCGUCCUGGACCUUGUUGCCGUCCUGGACCUUGUUGCCACCAUCUAGUUCUUCUGUUCUCUUUAUUCUAUCUAUAUAUUUCUUAUUUUCUAUAUUCAUAGUUAUGUCUAACUAAUCCAUUUAGUUAGGGCUUAGGAUGAAGCCCUAGUCAUGAAUAUUCAAUGUUAUGGAUGAUUUUAUAGUUAAUUGAUUUCCUU